AUGACACUGUUGGGUCUUCUGUACCUGGUAACUGUUCUUCCUGGUAUCCUGUCCCAGAAUCAGCUUCAGGAGUCAGGACAUGGCCUGGUGAAGCCCUCUCAAUCGCUGUUCCUCACCUGCUCUGACACUGUUUACACCAUUACCAGUAGUUACUGGUACUGGAUUAGGCAAUUCCUGGGGAACAAGCUGGAGUCGAUGGGGUACAUAAGUUAUGGUGGUAGCACCUACUACAACCCAUCCCUCAAGAGCCGCAUCUCCAUCACCAGAGAAAGAUCCAAGAACCAGUUCUUCCUGCAGCUGAACUCCUUGACCACUGAGGACACAGCCACACAUUAA